UACGAAGGUUGCAAGCGUUACUCGGAAUUACUAGGCGUAAAGGGCAGGCUGAUGGUUGGUUAGGUAGUAUAUUGAUGAACUCCCGGCUUAACUGGGAGAGGCCAAUGGAUACUACCAAGCUUGAGUAUAGGAGAGGUUACUGGAAUUCCCGGCGUAGCGGUGAAAUGCGCAGAUAUCGGGAGGAACACCAAUGGCGAAAGCAGGUAACUGGACCGGUACUGACGCUGAUGCGCGAAAGCGUGGGGAGCAAACGGG
rnacentral:rRNA from 1 species